AAAUAAAUUAAAAAGGAAAAAUAUUAAAAAUCAAAAUAUUGGUUCACAAAAUCAAAAUAUUGAUUCACAAGAUCAUCAAAUUUCAAUGGUGGAUUUUAUUUUAGUAUUGAACCUGACAUAGCUUAGAAUUGGAAUUGCUUUUGGUUGGAAACGCAUUUCAUGCUCGUUUUCUUUGAUAACCUUGAUUUGGUGUCUUGGAAA
rnacentral:lncRNA from 1 species